GACGAACGCUGGCGGCGUGCUUAACACAUGCAAGUCGAACGGAAGGGCCCUGCUUUUGUGGGGUGCUCGAGUGGCGAACGGGUGAGUAACACGUGAGUAACCUGCCCUUGACUUUGGGAUAACUUCAGGAAACUGGGGCUAAUACCGGAUAGGAGCUCCUGCUGCAUGGUGGGGGUUGGAAAGUUUCGGCGGUUGGGGAUGGACUCGCGGCUUAUCAGCUUGUUGGUGGGGUAGUGGCUUACCAAGGCUUUGACGGGUAGCCGGCCUGAGAGGGUGACCGGCCACAUUGGGACUGAGAUACGGCCCAGACUCCUACGGGAGGCAGCAGUGGGGAAUAUUGCACAAUGGGCGGAAGCCUGAUGCAGCAACGCCGCGUGCGGGAUGACGGCCUUCGGGUUGUAAACCGCUUUCGCCUGUGACGAAGCGUGAGUGGCGGUAAUGGGUAAAGAAGCACCGGCUAACUACGUG
rnacentral:rRNA from 1 species